GAUGAAGAACGCAGCGAAAUGCGAUAAGUAAUGUGAAUUGCAGAAUUCAGUGAAUCAUCGAAUCUUUGAACGCACAUUGCGCCCGCCAGUAUUCUGGCGGGCAUGCCUGUCUGAGCGUCAUUUCAACCCUCAAGCAACUUCUGCUUGGUGUUGGGGAUCGGCCGUCAAACGCCGCCCCCGAAAUCUAUUGGCGAUCUCGCUGUAGCUUCCUAUGCGUAGUAGUAACAUCUCGCAUCUGGAGAGCGGCGCGGUCAUGCCGUAAAACACCCAACUUCUCAGGUUGACCUCAGAUCAGGUAGGAAUACCCGUUGAACUUAAGCAUAUCAAUAAGCGGAGGA
rnacentral:misc_RNA from 1 species